rnacentral:rRNA from 1 species
GAUGAACGCUGACAGAAUGCUUAACACAUGCAAGUCUUUGGCGAAGCUGUGCUUGCACAGCCUAGCCAAGGCGGACGGGUGAGUAACGCGUAAGGAACUUGCCCUGCAGUCAGGGAUAACAGACGGAAACGACUGAUAAGACCUGGUAAAGUCAGGCGGACUCAUGUCCAGCCUGAUGAAAAGAGAUGCUGCAGGAGAGCCUUGCGUCCUAUUAGCUUGUUGGUGGGGUAACGGCCCACCAAGGCGAUGAUAGGUAGCCGGCCUGAGAGGGUGGACGGCCACAAGGGGACUGAGAUACGGCCCUUACUCCUACGGGAGGCAGCAGUGGGGAAUAUUGGACAAUGGGGGCAACCCUGAUCCAGCAAUUCUGUGUGCACGAUGAAGGUUUUCGGAUUGUAAAGUGCUUUCAGCAGGGAAGAAAAAAAUGACGGUACCUGCAGAAGAAGCGAUGGCUAAAUACGUG